UACGGAGGUGGCAAGCGUUGCUCGGAUUUACUGGGUGUAAAGGGUACGUAGGCGGCUAUGCAAGUCCUGCUUGAAAGGCUCAGGCUCAACCUGAGUAUUGGGUAGGAUACUGCGUGGCUUGAGGAUGAGAGAGGUAAGCGGAAUUCCCGGUGUAAGGGUGAAAUCUGUAGAUAUCGGGAGGAACACCAGUGGCGUAGGCGGCUUACUGGCUCAUUUCUGACGCUGAGGUACGAAAGCUAGGGGAGCAAACAGG
rnacentral:misc_RNA from 1 species